GACGAACGCUGGCGGCGUGCUUAACACAUGCAAGUCGUACGGUAAGGACCUUUCGGGGGUACACGAGUGGCGAACGGGUGAGUAACACGUGAGUAACCUGCCCACAACUUUGGGAUAACGCUAGGAAACUGGUGCUAAUACUGGAUAUGUGCUCCUGCUGCAUGGUGGGGGUUGGAAAGCUCCGGCGGUUGUGGAUGGACUCGCGGCCUAUCAGCUUGUUGGUGGGGUAGUGGCCUACCAAGGCGGCGACGGGUAGCCGGCCUGAGAGGGUGACCGGCCACAUUGGGACUGAGAUACGGCCCAGACUCCUACGGGAGGCAGCAGUGGGGAAUAUUGCACAAUGGGCGCAAGCCUGAUGCAGCAACGCCGCGUGCGGGAUGACGGCCUUCGGGUUGUAAACCGCUUUCAGCAGGGACGAAGCUUUUUGUGGCGGUACCUGCAGAAGAAGCACCGGCUAACUACGUG
rnacentral:rRNA from 1 species